AGUACUACUGAGCGCCCCUCCUUACGCGCAUUAAAGCUCCAAGCAGACUUCUCAAAAAACGUUUUAUUGCCACAGUGGUUUCCAAAAAACACUCCCUAAUGCCACCUUAACAGACUCCCUACUUGGCCACUUCCUCCAAAGCCAGGCAGUCUUCUCCGUUCUUGAGACUUCAUCCUGUUAGCGAUAAACACGGAUGACUAGCAAGUGCCAAAAAAAAGAAAAAAAGAAAAGAAAAAAGUCUUAAACACCGUGCGCUUCUUCCCUUCCCGGGCUCCACCGUGUCUAGUCUUUCAGUGGCCUGGCCAAAGGUGUAUGACCUCAUCCAAGUGAGCCCAGGUAAUGAAGAUGAGAUGUGGGAACCAGAAAGGUCGUUACAUUGGCGUUUUCUUGAUCUCUACCCGCCGCAGCUGUCCUAGAAUUGACCUGCGUCCUGCAGGGAAAUCCAUGAGACUAAUUCUUACCGAAUCUACGCCAUGUGCCAGGUAGAUGCUAGAAUUGCACAAACAAACAAAGCCAAAUCUUUGCCUUAAGAGACAGUGGUGAGAGGCCGUGCCAUUUCAUUCAUUACAAGAACAGUUAUUGAGUUGCUGGCGUUUCCAGACUUUGUUCAAGGUGCAGAGUAUACACCUGUGAGUGAAACAGACAGAAACCCUUGUCUUCCGGGACUUUUCAUUCUUGUGGAUGGGGACAGGCAAUAAACAAGACAAAAAUUAGCAUCUGCUUUUUUGAAAGUGGGCAGAAACUUCAGUGAGAGCUCAUGGACACAGCUGUGGUAUUCUUUUUUGGAAGUAUGCCAUGUAUGGGUUUGAUGUCCUGUUAUUUCUGGAUCUGUGAGACUCUGAUAAGAGAAAUGCAAAAGAAUACUGACCAAUGGAUUGGUUGCCAUUAAACUUGGUGAAAACGGAACCAACACGGAGCCCAGAUGACCAGGAGAAAUGGCAGUGGUAGCAGUGGAUACCGGUAACAAAA